rnacentral:rRNA from 1 species
UACGAACUGCGCGAACGUUAUUCGGAAUCACUGGGCUUAAAGGGUGCGUAGGCGGCCUGUUAAGUAGGGUGUGAAAUCUGUCGGCUCAACCGGCAGACUGCAUUCUAAACUGGCAGGCUUGAGUGAGUCAGGGGUGUGCGGAACUUCCGGUGGAGCGGUGAAAUGCGUUGAUAUCGGAAGGAACGCCGGUGGCGAAAGCGGCACACUGGGGCUUUUCUGACGCUGAGGCACGAAAGCGGGGGGAGCGAACAGG